rnacentral:rRNA from 1 species
CUGGCUCAGAACGAACGCUGGCGGCAGGCUUAACACAUGCAAGUUGAACGGGAUUAAUGGUAGCUUGCUAUCAUUAAUGAGAGUAGCGCACUGGUGAGUAACACGUGGGAACAUACCUUUUGGUGGGGGACAACAGUUGGAAACGACUGCUAAUACCGCAUAAGCCCGUGAGGGGAAAGAUUUAUUGCCGAAAGAUUGGCCCGCGGAAGAUUAGGUAGUUGGUGGGGUAAAGGCCUACCAAGCCGACGAUCUAUAGCUGGUCUGAGAGGACGAACAGCCACAUUGGAACUGAGACACGGUCCAGACUCCUACGGGAGGCAGCAGUGAGGAAUAUUGGGCAAUGGAGGCAACUCUGACCCAGCCAUGCCGCGUGAGUGAAGAAGGUUUUCGAAUUGUAAAGCUCUUUCGGGUGUGACGAUGAUGACGGUAACACCUAAAGAAGCCCCGGCAAACUUCGUGCCAGCCGCCGC